rnacentral:rRNA from 1 species
ACUCAAAUGAAUAGACGGGGACCCGCACAAACGGUGGAGCAUGUGGUUUAAUACGACGAUACGCGUGGAACCUCACCCAGACUUGACAUGUACUAGAAAUCCUUAUGAAAGUAGGGACCUCCCUUCCGGGACUGGUACACAGGUGUUGCAUGGCUGUCGUCAGCUCGUGUCGUGAGAUGUUGGGUUAAGUCCCGCAACGAGCGCAACCCUUAUCCUUAGUUGCUAAUUUCGCCGCAAGGUGGAAAGCACUCUACGGAGACUGCCGCUGAUAAAGCGGAGGAAGGUGGGGAUGACGUCAAGUCAGUACGGCCCUUACGUCUGGGGCUACACACGUGCUACAAUGGACGGCACAAAGGGCUGCGAUACCGCGAGGUGGAGCCAAUCCCAAAAACCGUCCCCAGUUCGGAUUGCAGGCUGCAACUCGCCUGCAUGAAGCCGGAAUCGUUAGUAACCCUAUAUCAGACACGAUAGGGUGAAUACGUUCCCGGGUCUUGUACACACCGCCCGU